rnacentral:misc_RNA from 1 species
UUUCCGUAGGUGAACCUGCGGAAGGAUCAUUAUUGUACAAUGGAGGUGCAAGGGCUGUUGCUGACCUUUAAAAGGCUUGUGCACGCCCAAGUACUACUCUCUUACACAUCCAUCUCACCCCUCUGUGCAUCACCGCGUGGGUCCCCCCUUUACGGGGAGGGCUCACGUCUUCACAUGAAACUUUAAUACAGUAUAGAAUGCAUUCUUUUGUUUGUUUGCGGUAACACGCAAUAAAUACAACUUUCAACAACGGAUCUCUUGGCUCUC